rnacentral:misc_RNA from 1 species
UCACCCCUCAAGCCCCCGGCUUGGUGUUGGAGGCCCUGGUCAGGCGACUGACCCCUCCCAAAGACAAUGACGGCGGCCCGCUUCGACCCCCGGUACAUUGAGCUUCUUAACUGAGCACGUAUCGGAUCAGGCUCGACGGGACCCGGUCUCACACCUAAUUUUUACAA